CUGCUAUCGGAUGAUACUAAGCCAUGCGAGUCUUUGUAGUAAUACAAGGCAGACGGCUCAGUAACACGUAGUCAACCUACCCUAUGGACAAGAAUAAUCUCGGGAAACUGAGCAUAAUUCUCGGUAGAUCAUAAUGCCUGGAAUGGUUUAUGGUUAAAAUGAUUCGUCGCCAUAGGAUGGGACUGCGGCCUAUCAGCUUGUUGGUGAGGUAAUGGCCCACCAAGGCGAUUACAGGUACGGGCUCUGAGAGGAGAAGCCCGGAGAUGGGUACUGAGACACGGACCCAGGCCCUAUGGGGCGCAGCAGGCGAGAAAACUUUGCAAUGUGCGAAAGCACGACAAGGUUAAUCCGAGUGAUUUCUGCUAAAGAAAUCUUUUACCAGUCGUAAAACCGCUGGUGAAUAAGGGGUGGGCAAGUUCUGGUGUCAGCCGCCGCGGUAAAACCAGCACCUCAAGUGGUCAGGAUGAUUAUUGGGCCUAAAGCAUCCGUAGCCGGCUUUGUAAGUUUUCGGUUAAAUCCAUGUGCUCAACGCAUGGGCUGCCGAAAAUACUGCAUAGCUAGGGAGUGGGAGAGGUAGACGGUACUCAGUAGGAAGGGGUAAAAUCCUUUGAUCUAUUGAUGACCACCUGUGGCGAAGGCGGUCUACCAGAACACGUUCGACGGUGAGGGAUGAAAGCUGGGGGAGCAAACCGGAUUAGAUACCCGGGUAGUCCCAGCUGUAAACGAUGCAGACUCGAUGAUGCAUUGGCAUAAUAGCCAGUGCAGUGUCGCAGGGAAGCCGUUAAGUCUGCCGCCUGGGAAGUACGUACGCAAGUAUGAAACUUAAAGGAAUUGGCGGGGGAGCACCACAAGGGGUGAAGCCUGCGGUUCAAU
rnacentral:rRNA from 1 species